ensembl:rRNA 5S_rRNA 5S ribosomal RNA
GUCUACGGCCAUACCACCCUGAAUGCGCCUGAUCUCAUCUGAUCUCAGAAGCUAACCAGGUUCAGGCCUGGUUAGUACUUGGAUGGGAUAAAUUCUUCUCUGAUAGAAGAAUAUUGAUCUCCAGUAAUUU